GUUAUUGCAGGAAGCUUCGAUUGCAAAAGUUCACUAACAGGAUUCUUGAUAAGCAUUGAAGCUCGAAAAAAAAGAUCAGCACUACAAAAUAAAUUUCCAUAAGAGCCACCAUUUAUUUUCUUUUGUGGUGAAUUCCCGGAAAAAAUUCCAGGCAUUUUUUUCUAUGAGCUCUUUCAUUGAUUAGUCUUUUCAACGCCUGGAAUGAUCGAUAACAUAAAUCAUCUUCGUUGAAAUGCCAUUCGCGCGUUGCCAGCACUCGCCUCGCACGAACAACUGACGCCUAGACUUUCCAGGUUAAGUGCAACAGUGGCUACAAACAUCGUGUGCUUUCUUAAAAGGUGGUGAUUGAUGACACACAUUUGAUCGCAUGCUAGAAUUACUUUAAUUAUCAAAAACUUUGAGCCGAGCAGUAAGAAUAUCCCUUGAGCUUUUUGAGAGCUUUUGUGACGUUUAAUUGACCUAUAUGUCUCUAAUGCAUCGAGUGCGAAGCUAUAAAAGAGUCUUGUGGCGAGCUCAUAAUAAUACUCACUGAAACAUAAUUUUAUGGACAAAAAAUGUUAGCGUAAUCUCAUCAAAAGUUUCCUGGACUGUCAUAACAAAUAUUUUCCCUAGAACGUUAUAUUGACCUAAAGUGUUCACGUUAACUUGUAUAAAACUGGAACAAACCUCUGAUUGAGUAAAAGAAUCAACAGAUUUGGUUCACAUCUUCUUUAUCUCAGAAGUGAAGUAAAUUUUUCACCCGUAAACAUGGACGAAGAACGACAAUUUGACGACGACAUCAUCCCGUAUACGGUCGUGACGACGCCAGGCGAACGUAUCAUGGGUCAGAUCUUGCUGAUGAGGGCACAGCUCGCACAGCUUCAGCAGGAGGUCAAGAUCAACAGGGUGCUCGCUUCGGACGCCUGCAGCGAGCUGAUCGCACAUUGCCAGAAGCACGAGUGCGAUGAUGCGUUGCUGAACGGGUUGUCCCAGUCCGAGAAUCCCUACAAGGAGAACAAGAGCUGCAAGAUAUUGUGAUCGCGGGUCCAGCGGCCGUAGAUCAUCAGACGCCUCAUCGAUCACCGGCCAGCAGACGCUUAAUAUGUCACGUUCUUCUACACAUAUCCACUUGCGCUACUUCUUACACUGCAGUAUUCUUCUUCAUGUUGUGCCUAAAUAAUUUAAAUAAAUUUUAGCAUCAUUCCGCGUUCGAAUUUAUUGAAAACGUAAUUUUUUAUAACGGCCUUUUAUAACGAAAUCAGAAAAGUUUUAGUCUUUCUUUGUUUGGUCUUCAUUGGAUGAAAAGUUCGUGUGCAAUCAUAUCGCAGUCAUUUAAAAUUAAUGAAGUUCUAACGUAUGCGAUAUAGAUCUUCUAUAAUGGCUCUCAGUAAUAUGCUAGAUCAUUUUGGCAAAUCAACUUGUCCGUAAAACUCGUUCAACAAUACAAGGAAAAGCUUCCUCAUUCGUGAUUUUUCUGACGUAAGGUUUAUUCCUAAAUAAAGUGCUUAAUUUUCA